UAAAGUUGUUCUAGUUUUGUAACUAAAAUGGUUUGGCAGUGAGCGAUUCUUAUUAGGGGAAUAUGCAUAGUGAAGGAUGGUCCACCUAUUAGUUUACUCUUUUUAUGUUGGUGUAUGUCUGGUUUGAUAUUAUUGUUGAAUAAUUUAAGUUUGUGUAGUUUUAGUUAAGCUAAGUCUAUGUGCUGCUUAUUGGAGUUUUUGUGUGUUACAUUAAUAAGGGUGUUAUUGUAAGAUGAUGUGAUUUAGGACUU
rnacentral:rRNA from 1 species